UCCACCGGGAAAGACGUGCUGAUUCUUCGAAGUGGUAUGAAGCUGCUGAAGCUCUAUUUCCUCAUUAUCCUGGUACUGCAGGUUCCUGAUGGACGAGCAGCCAGCAGUCAUCAGCUCAAGUUGUCUCGAGUCGUCAGCGCACCAACACCUACAGCUCACCAGAACUCAAGCCCUUCUGCCACGGGUUACUGGUGGACGGCCUCAACAUAGUCUGAACAUGAAUGAUGCAGUGUGACGUCAUUUCCCUGGGGUGCAAGUGGCUUCACCACCGCCUUGUGAGCCAAAGUCAACCUCACCUGCCCGCGGUGCACCCUGCUGACACACGGACGAGGCUCUGACGCCCCUUGUGAGGCGGAGAUGAUCAUGAUCCUCUCAGCCCCCCAUGGGCCCAUUAUGGACCGCGGCUGCAUCUCCGUCGCAGACGCGGUACAUAAUUUCUUAGCUAUAUAAAAUAUAAACAGAAAGUGCCAGAGGGUUAAAAGUUGAUUUCUAGGCUAAGAAUAUAUACUAUUGUAUAAUAAAUAAUAAUAAUAA